rnacentral:rRNA from 1 species
AUUGAACGCUGGCGGCAUGCCUUACACAUGCAAGUCGAACGGUAACAGGCCGCAAGGUGCUGACGAGUGGCGAACGGGUGAGUAAUACAUCGGAACGUGCCCGAUCGUGGGGGAUAACGCAGCGAAAGCUGUGCUAAUACCGCAUACGAUCUACGGAUGAAAGCGGGGGAUCGCAAGACCUCGCGCGGACGGAGCGGCCGAUGGCAGAUUAGGUAGUUGGUGGGGUAAAGGCCUACCAAGCCGACGAUCUGUAGCUGGUCUGAGAGGACGACCAGCCACACUGGGACUGAGACACGGCCCAGACUCCUACGGGAGGCAGCAGUGGGGAAUUUUGGACAAUGGGCGCAAGCCUGAUCCAGCCAUGCCGCGUGCAGGAUGAAGGCCUUCGGGUUGUAAACUGCUUUUGUACGGAACGAAAAGGUUUCUUUUAAUACAGGGAACUGAUGACGGUACCGUAAGAAUAAGCACCGGCUAACUACGUGCCAGCCGCCGCAGUAA